GUUUAUAACGGACCAAAUAAACGUGUAUGUUAUCUUUUAAAAAUAUUUAACUCAAGUGAAGCUCCUGUAUGGCAAGCCUCAAGACCAAGAAGUCUACUGGAAAUUUUUACCCAUAGUUUAAAGAAAUGUUCAGAUGUCCAAAUGCAAGUGAUUUAGAAGUAGUAACUAUUACACUCUUCAAGAUGCUUUAUGUGAUUCUGGUGUUUUAACUCAGUCAGCUGGGAGAUCCAAUCCUUAGAGACCUGAAGGUAACCUGCAUGUAAAACUAACAAAAAUCAUCUUGGUAGGCAUAGGUUGCUUGUGUGAAAUCUGUUCUGAAGCUUCAGUGCAAAGCAAACACAGCACUAAUGAUGGAUGUGAAUGGACAUUUUAAGGAUAACUGGAUAUGGCAUCUUCAGAAACAGUGGCAUUUUGGCCCUAAUUCUGCGUCUGGUCAAAUGGACCUCGAGAGCCCUGGGGCCUGGUUGAGUUAAUGCAACAUGAGUGCCUGGAAGUUUCUACUCUGAAGAACUGACUUUAGGCAAAUUUGUAUUUCAUUUCCAUGUCUACUUGCUUCUAAUUCAUGAUAGUUGUCCUUUAAGGUGGUAUUGUUUUUGAGACUUGGCACAUCUACUUUCGUACCAUUUGUAUUCAGUGUUCCCUGAAUAUUGUCAGACAGUUAAAACAUUUCUGUUGUGUCAUGUACCAAAAACUCCGGAUUGGUGUGAUUAGUGUUGCAUUUUUACAUGUCAUGUCUUCCUACUUAAAAUGGAGGAGAUAAUCACCUGUGUUUUCAGCAGUUGUGGUGUUUCUUUUACCUUAGCUUCUGGAGUUAACUACUGGGACUCUAUUCAGGGCAAUUUAAAGAUGUUGGUAGAUUUGUUUUUUGUUCUUCAGACACAAAAUACAUUUGUUAUUUUGCAAUGUGCUAUUUUCUUAGUAGCCUACUAUUACUACAAGCUUUCAAAAUGAUGAUAAUUCUGUGAUGCAGACCAGUAAAAUAAGCGGGAAAAGGCAGUAACUUUUACUAGCUCUCCUGUUGCUUUUCUAUUUUUGUGGAUGCAGUUACAUGUCAUACUCUACAGCCGAGAGUGAAGACUUGCUUAUUUUUGUGAACUGGAUAACGUCUUUUAACUACGUGGGUUGCUGUUCCUGUCCUAUUCCAUAGGAAUCUUACAGUUUCAUUGUGUACUAAGCUUAGAUAGCCCCAGUAUGGACUGGGAAGGACUUUGCAAAUAGAGUUAGAGGGGAAAAAUGGAUAUGCUCUGUCUCUACCUGUGUUAAUAUUCAUAUCAUAUAGACUUUUUAAUGCAAACAUAUAUCAACGUAGGAAAAUUAGUGGAUGAAAAUAUCCAACACUUUCUCUGUAUAUAGAAAAUCAGGAAUACCUCCUUUUUUUUUUUUUGGUAGGCAUAUUAAAAUUGUUUCUAAGAACUCUGAAGUAUUUAACAACAUUUUGCAUAUUCCCAGAACAAUAGAGAAGCACUGCUGUUUUGCUUUAUAAAGGAGAAAACAACCGUUCAAUCAGCAGUGAAGUCAGGGUUAUCAGUUGAGUCCUGCUGCCCUUUAACCUCAUGCCUCCAGCCCCAUUUCUUUCACAAAAGCCAAAGUUGCCAUUCUAAUCAAUUUCUUUCUAUUUCUGCUACAAGGCCUAAGGUGUUUCAGUUCGGACUCCCAGAAAAUGAGGAACACGGUGUUGGUGGCCGUCUGCCAAGGUGUUUGGUCUGACUUGCUCCUUCUUUGCAGAAGCCUAUGGCAGAGAGAACUGAAUGUUCCUGUGUGGCAUUCAACUGCCUUAACCACACGCCCGCUGCUCUCUUCCUGCAGUUGUCCGUCUUCUUCUCUGCACAACUUGUAGAGCAAACACAUAUAGGAACCUAUAAAUAAUCUAAUUUGAUGCACAACCCUGAUUCAUUUCCUGAGCAGCGUGUGUCCUGCACACACAGGGCAGCCGCGGUCCUGUGGAAAACUUGAACAGAACGGAUGAGGCCAAAUAUUAAAGCUGUUAAGUAUUUAAACUUUGCAAUGAAAUGCUAUUUCAAAUUACAGCUAUAAUGAACCAUGUUAGAAUAUUUUUAAAAAGGAAGGAG